rnacentral:lncRNA from 1 species
AGAAUAAUUUACAAAUUACGAUAUUAAUUUGUGGAGUAAAUUAAAUGAGUUCAAUGCGGCCUAAAAACCCAAAUAAAUAGGGUUUUCCAAAUUAAUUAAGUACAGCAAUGGGCAGGGUGUUAUAGUGCAUGUAGGUGGUCGAACUUCUAUAAAAAUCAAGGUUUUCGAACUUGGCAAUGAGGUUAUUAAAGUGAUAAGCUUUGACAUUCACUUCUAAAAACUUUACAGUACUCACAAUGUUGAGACAUGGAGCCACAAAAUAAAGUCAAUUACAACAGCUAUGUUGAUUUUCAAGAAUGUUCCCGUUAUAUGAAAAGAAAAAUAGAUAUGGGACAUCUACAAUAACUCU